ensembl:misc_RNA
UGAUGACCCUAUCCCGAACCUGAAUUCCUGUUGAAAUACAAAAUUACGGAUCUGGCUUCUGAGACGGACCAUUAAAAAGGCAUUGUUGUGGGGUUUUUUGUUUUCAUUUUUGUGUUGGUAGUUUUGUAAUCCCUGUGUUUGUUUUCUAGGGCCAGUGACACAAGUGAGAAUUGGAUGUUAUGACCGUCCAGAAAAGACAAGAUGAGAAAGUGCAGUAUUGACUGUCUUCAAACGCACCUGUCCUUGCUCAAGUGCUGGGAUUGUGUGCCAACGGCUAUGAUAGAUAUGAAUAGAGCACGAGAUAAUGUGCUUACAGAAAGUUGGUUGAAUUGAAUGCAAUUAAUGUUUGGAGGCACUUAGUCUUCUAGUGUUUGAAUGUGGAUGGAAUUAAAGCUGGGUUUGUAGUGAGCCAUUAGGAUUAUGGCAAAUGUCUAGUGUACAGAAUUCAGUGUAGGCCGGGAGUUGAGACUGGUGUGUGUUUAGUGGAUUAUCUGAUCAGCACAUGUGUGACAGUGUUGAUCACAAGUCAUUGCCAGCUCUGUUCAUUUUCUUCCCUGGUCUAACUCAAUAAUUGCCAUCAUGAAAAUUCUGGGUGACUUUUGUGACUAAAGUCCCAUUGUAAGCCACAUUCUUUGUCCAGCAGU